AUAUACGUCUUCGAGCACCGACAGUCUGUCGGUGCAAUAGAUUUUUCGUAGAAAAGGAGUUUUAAACCAAAAAGUGACUUACCACACUUUUCCAAAAAAUGAAAACAGAAUCGAAAAAUGGAUAAAACAUUUACACAGCAGUGUCGAAAAGGGAUCUUCAGCAUACAGCCUCCGAAAAUUCAGUAAUUACACUGUUAUUUGCAGUGAUCAAUUUGAAGAAACUGUUUGUUUUUUCAGUUACUGGAAAUACCAAAAUAUUGAAGAAAUCUGCUGUUUCAACGUUGUUCAACAAGGUGGCAGUCAUUCAGGUAAAUGAACAGAUUAAUAUGCCAAAUAAAAGAAUUCUGAUGAUGCACAACGGUAAUGCUUCAACUCAACCAAUUCACAGUUCUAUCAAUUCAACUCAAGACACAGGCUUAACAAUGAUUGUCUUCUUGACAUGACACAAGACCGCAUAAAUAAGCUUUAGGGCUUGUGAAAAAAAAAUUAUCCGACUGUUGUGUUUCUGGGCUUCGUCUUGUCUUUCAGCUCCUUCAUUAUAAAACUAGAUCCGACCUUGUUAUGGCUCUUAAUAGGAUUUUUCUUGUUCUGUCCCGCACUUAUUUUUCCGUUAGGUUUUGCUUCCCUCUUUAAUCAAGUUGACCUUGUCCCCAUAAUACUUUGUAGGUAAGAUUUAGUAUCUUUCCUUACAAACUUCAGCGAAAUUAAAAUCUUGCAACAAAGAGUUCCUGUAAGGAACGAAGGCGAAUUGAAUUGUCUAGCAUUGUCCCUAUUCGAUUAAAUGCAGAAAGACGUCGCCCUUAUUCAAUUAUUAAUUUCAUUCUUGUUUGCGUCUGAUCCCGACGAUUCAGUUCCCCAUACUCCCAAGGUGCUGAAUCCAAUUUCUUAUAAAGCUUUAGCUUCUGCAUUAACAAUUCAUCCUUUGCCUUUUUACGAGUAAAAAAAUUACAACGAGUAACAAAUCAUUGUUAAUCUUGCUUGAUUAACCGUAAUAAUGCCAACCUGGCCGUAGUGUUCCGGUAUACGAAAUAAGCGUUUUUUUAGAGGGUAGGGUUAGCAAAUCAUGCUUUCUUAUGAAUUCAUAAAGAGUGGGACUUCUUCCUUGUAUUGCAAUGCUUUAUCUGAUUGUCCACUGAUUGUAUCUAAGUCUGCUCUUUUCCUUUGAAAAAUUUAGGAGCUAGUGAAAAAUUGAAAUUACGCAAUAAUUAGAAAAAGAAAUAAGUCAAUGAAAAUAUAUGAUUUACUUGUGAUAAUAGGAGGGAAGAUUUGGCAUUUGCAUCACAGUUCUUAUUUCCCUCUUGUUCAAUAAUUUUUCUAACAUACGUAAUACAUUUUCUCAUUCGCGGA